CCGCGGGGACUCCUGCCGCCGACCAACGAGGGUACGCCGCGCCCAAGCCGCUCCUCUGGAUGGCGACAGAGACGGCCUGGCGCGCCUGCAGCCUGGGCCCCCCAGCGGGGAGGACGGCUGGCCAGGUGAAGUUCCUGCACUUGGGCCUUCCGCGUUCCCAUCCACUGCAGCCAGGGCCUGGAAGGCUGGGGAAGGGACGGGGGCGGCAGACGCCUCCUAAGGAUCACUCUACUCGGGCACCUCUGCCACUGCCCCGUGCUUGCCCUCCUGGUUCAUCUCCCUGGAGUCCCUGCAGGACCAGCUGUCGGUGGCGUCUCUGGGCUCCCAGUCCCGGGACUGGUCCUAUCGAGAAAACGGGAAUGGAAGGGGAGCCCUUGGCGCUUAUAACUUGGAGCCCAGAAUGGUGGAGAGUCUGAAAACGGUGAUGCUAGAAAAGGUGAAUUCUCCACUCCAGGUUACAAGUAGAGGGACCCAAGGAGUGGGGAGGUGGGGGGGAGGUGUGGGGUCUGAGAUGGUAUUGAAGAGAUGGUGUCUCCCUGGGACAGCAACCUUGAGAUGAUUACAAAGACACCACCCCCGGGCAGUCCGAAGGCAAGGGCAGGUGCCUGGUCCAGCCCCAUCCCGGCCUUGUUUCCAGAGGCCUGGAGAGAGAGACCAAGAUGGAAAUUGAGGAUGGGGGGUGAGCGCAGCCUGAAUUCUGUUGCUAGGGAACAGAAAGCUCCACUCUGGAUCCCAACACGCGCUACGGAUUGGCGAUUUUUCUGUUGUUGUUGAUGGACUGGGUUUGAUUACUAGCCAGAACUGACAGAAGUUUAGA
rnacentral:lncRNA from 1 species